rnacentral:rRNA from 1 species
UACAGAGGUCCCGAGCGUGUUCGGAUUCAUUGGGCGUAAAGGGUGCGUAGGCGGUUAGGUAAGUUUGAUGUGAAAUCCUGGGGCUCAACCCUGGAACUGCAUUGAAUACUGCUUGACUAGAGUACUGGAGAGGAAACUGGAAUUCACGGGUGUAGCAGUGAAAUGCGUAGAGAUCGUGAGGAAGACCAGUGGCGAAGGCGAGUUUCUGGACAGUUACUGACGCUGAGGCACGAAGGCUAGGGGAGCAAACGGG